ACCCAAGGAGAGAGUCAGGUGGAGGACGAAACAGAACCUAGAUUACUGUUUCCUGAUGAUGUACGCUCAGACAAAAGGAACUUAUUACGUCCAGUUAGAGGACGACAUAGUUGCCCGUCCGAACUACUUCACCACCAUGAA